GUCGGAGCACGACAGGCAGGUCAGUGUGGGAAUUAUUCCUGCCGAUUCCGAACCAACGGAAUAACGUGUCAUCCUGCCGCUCGCUGUCAUGCACACUCAUAUACGUAGGGCCUGGCAACCCAGCCGCAGAGAGGUUGCCUCUGACACAAGUGGCACUGUGUCAAGCCACUUGUGUUGCCACAUCACAGCUAAACAUAUCUUUUUGUUCCUGCUGUCAAUCGCCAAGGAUAUCCUAAGGGUCCAGGUCUUUGCUGUAGAGACUUAAGAUGCAGUUGGAGCGUUUCUUGUACCACAGUCAGAAAAUGCAGUCAGUGAUGUGGAUGAUAUUUGUUGAUGUUUCAAGCAUGUUCAAAAGCAUGAACUGCAAGAAUAAUCAGGCACCCAAGGAGCACAUGGAGCCACAGGAACAUAAAAGCCCGCUCUUUGUAUUCGAGGAAUUAAGUGGCCUCCUGUUCAACCCUAUGCAGGAGAUGGAUGAAAAUCCUGAGCAAGGAGGAAAACAACAACACUAAGCCAGAUCAAGAACCUCAUUGCCAAAUGCAGCCAGAGGAGCAUUUUACCAUUUGACAUUUAACCUUAGACAAUUACGAUUCUUCAUAUCAAUGUCUAAAUGACUAAAUUCCUGACAGAUCUUUAAAAGGAAGAUAAAGCCGGGCUUGGAGAUGGAAAAUAAGGUUAGUGACUAUCACAAAAUACAAGGACCUGAACGACACCCAGCCAAAUCAGCUUUUUGACAUCAGAUUCUAAUUUUGAUUUUGCAAAGCUUAUUUCCACUUUUCCAGCAGAUGACAUUGCAAAUUGUCCUUUAACAUCUGCCUUUGUUAAUUUUCUCUAAUUAUGUUGUGAUGCCAAUUAAAAGCACACAAUUACAGAAUGGCAAACACUGUGCAGGCAAGCAUUAGACAAACACUCGGCAUACAAAUAUGCAUAGACGUUUAUGUGAUCCUUGUUUGUUUUUUGUGUGUGUGUGUGACUCCUGCAACUCACACCUUUAAAGGGGUAGCUGAUUGCGAUUUCACUUUUUUUUGUAACAUAAGUGUGUGUAAUGUUGCUGUAUGAGCAUAAACAAUAUCUGCAAAGUUGCAGUGCUGAAAGUUCAAUGCAAAUGGAGAAAAAAAAAAAUUCUGGCAGUUUAAUGCCUACAAAAACGGCUGGUAAGGUUGGUAAGGGCUACAACAAGCUUUUUCCCAGGUCCGUUACGUCACAAACCCAGAUAAACCCCACCCCCGGGAACUCGCAACAAAGGGGGCGAGGCCAUGUUGUGCUGCUUUAAAACCAUAUAUUAAAAGCUAACAGAAACAGUAGCAUUUACAAACACCAGCGUAUCUAAAAGUAUGAGACAACAACAAACAAACAUACCAUUAAGAGCCGUGCUUGCACAGGUUCUGCGCGAUUCUCUUCAUUAAUAUUCUCUGCGUCUCAAUCGGGCUCAAAUUGAUAAUCAAUAUAGAGGACGUCAUUGUUUACAAUUCAACCGGAGCACAUUUUGAGCUUGGGCGGGAUGUUCAUACGCGCUCUAGAGGCAGUUUAGCAAAUCACAACACACUGAGCCAGCUGACCAAUCUCAGUCCAUCGCGUAUUUCUGAGAUCUAUCUAUCUAUCUAUCUAUGAUAUACCACUUUAAUUACUGAUUGCUAUCAGGAUGCGAAGAAUCUUUCAAUCAGUAUAUAACAAAAAUGUUUCUGGAAAAAAAAAAGAAGAAAAAAAAACUGCCUACCCUAGCUUUAAUGAAUACAUUAGGGUAGUCCAUAUUCCUGCCAUCUCCCCAAAAAUAGAAAGGUAGGUAUACCCCUUUCCAGUCCCUUGGGUUGCCCUCAUUAGUGGGGGACAAGCCUUUGAGAGGGGCUCUUUCUCCUUCAUCCAAAGCAAAGACAAAGUAAUGUCAAGCCAGUGAGUUAUAGCCACCCAUUCUUUAGUUCUACAGCUUUGAUGGGGAAACAGCAACUCUUCUAAAGGGAAAAUUGCACUCUCUGGCCAUCAUUUACACAGACAGGCAGCAUGUAGGUGGUGCAUGUGUCAACUCAUUACAGAACUAGUGCAGGGAAAAUAAAGCGCUCAAAUGCUGUUAAUGAGGAGCAAAAAAAAAAAAUAAAUAAAAUAAAAAAAAAUUUAUUUGUAUUAUUGUCUUUCCUGCUAAAAGCACUAAAAAGCUUUUACAUCCAUGCCAACCAAUCAUAAUGACCAGAUGAUGAUUCAAGUGAGAUUCAAAAGGGUAAAAAGGUCAUCAUUUUAUUUUUGUCCCUCUCACUUUCUUUUAUACAAGUUGGACUAAUUAAAACACAAAGCAAGAGAUUGCAUGACCUGUCGUUGGAUUUCAGUUUGUGAUGGCAGCACUGCUGUUACCAGCAUGCCACAGUGCUCAGUGCUCGCCUCCCAAGCUCCAACAGAACAGAGCCAAUAGAGCUGCGGGACACUGCCGUUAAUAGGAGCGUGGCUCUAAAUAAUUCAUGUUUCACAGGAACAAAGUAGGCUCUGUGAGGAAGGUUGCUGCACACUCAUGUGGGCACAGUGCUCUGAGAGCAGGUGAAAAUAAAACUACGAUUUUUACAUGCAUCAGUGCCGUUGGGCGCAACCAGAGAGAGAUGCUGCACAAUAAUGGAGCAUCUGCUGAACUUUAGACGUACCCUGUGAUGGUGCUCACCAUGGUGCUGAACCCAUAAACCACAUGAAGUCUGCUACUCUAGCUGUGUCACCUGCAAAGGCAACAUAAAGAACCAUGUCAAUUUGGGUGUUUGUUGACUUCAGUGCAGGAAAAUAUAGCAUGUUAUAUCAAACCCUUUGCUGAACUGCUUA
ensembl:lncRNA